GGUGAAAUUCUUGGACCGUCGCAAGACGGACAGAAGCGAAAGCAUUUGCCAAAAACGUUUUCAUUGAUCAAGAACGAAAGUUAGAGGUUCGAAGGCGAUCAGAUACCGCCCUAGUUCUAACCAUAAACGAUGCCAGCUAGCGAUCCGCCGACGUUCCUCCGAUGACGCGGCGGGCAGCUUCCGGGAAACCAAAGCUUUUGGGUUCCGGGGGAAGUAUGGUUGCAAAGCUGAAACUUAAAGGAAUUGACGGAAGGGCACCACCAGGAGUGGAGCCUGCGGCUUAAUUUGACUCAACACGGGAAACCUCACCAGGCCCGGACACCGGAAGGAUUGACAGAUUGAGAGCUCUUUCUUGAUUCGGUGGGUGGUGGUGCAUGGCCGUUCUUAGUUGGUGGAGCGAUUUGUCUGGUUAAUUCCGAUAACGAACGAGACUCUGGCCUGCUAACUAGGCGUAUUUCCGACAUCUCGAAGGCCCGUCGGCCUGGUGCGCUCGCGUGCCAAGUCGUGCGCGGUUUUUACUGUCGGCGUACAAACAAUUCUUCUUAGAGGGACAGGCGGCUUCUAGCCGCACGAGAUAGAGCAAUAACAGGUCUGUGAUGCCCUUAGAUGUUCUGGGCCGCACGCGCGCUACACUGAAGGAAUCAGCGUGUCCUCCCUGGCCGAGCGGCCCGGGUAACCCGCUGAACCUCCUUCGUGCUAGGGAUUGGGGCUUGCAAUUGUUCCCCAUGAACGAGGAAUUCCCAGUAAGCGCGAGUCAUAAGCUCGCGUUGAUUACGUCCCUGCCCUUUGUACACACCGCCCGUCGCUACUACCGAUUGAAUGAUUUAGUGAGGUCUUCGGACCGGCACGCGGCGGCGUUUCGACGUCGCCGAUGAUGCUGGAAAGAUGACCAAACUUGAUCAUUU
rnacentral:rRNA from 1 species